rnacentral:rRNA from 1 species
GAUCAUGCUCAUAAKYGAMRAMGCUGGGCGGGCGUGSCYMACACAUGCAAGUCGAACGGUAACAGGGACUUCGGUCCGCUGACGAGUGGCGCACGGGUGAGUAACGCGUGGAUAUCUGCCUAUUAGUGGGGGACAACUACAGGAAACUGUAGCUAAUACCGCAUAAUCUCUACGGAGCAAAGCAGGGGACCUUUCGGGGCCUUGCGCUGAUAGAUGAGUCCGCGUCUGAUUAGCUAGUUGGUAAGGUAAAAGCUUACCAAGGCGAUGAUCAGUAACUGGUUUGAGAGGAUGAUCAGUCACACUGGAACUGAGACACGGUCCAGACUCCUACGGGAGGCAGCAGUGGGGAAUAUUGCACAAUGGGGGAAACCCUGAUGCAGCGACGCCGCGUGCGGGAAGAAGGCCUUCGGGUUGUAAACCGCUUUCAAUUGGGAAGAAGAGAUGAGUACUAAUAAUGCUCUGAUUUGACGGUACCUUUAGAAGAAGCACCGGCUAAUUUCGUGCCAGCAGCCGCGGUAAUACGAAAGGUGCAAGCGUUGUUCGGAUUUACUGGGCGUAAAGAGAUCGUAGGUGGUUUAUUAAGGUCGGAUGUGAAAAUCCCGGGGCUCAACCCCGGAACUGCAUUCGAUACUGAUAGGCUAGAGUUUGGGGAGAGGGGUWAGCCCGGAAUUCCGGGUGUGUAGCAGUGGAAAUGCGUAGAAUAUAACGGAGGAACACCUUGAGGGCGAAGGCGGCUUACUGGGACCAAUACUGACACUGAGGAUCGAAAGCGUGGGUAGCAAACAGGAUUAGAUACCCUGGUAGUCCACGCCCUAAACGAUGUCAACUAGCCGUAGCGGGUAUCGACCCCUGCUGUGGCGAAGCUAACGCGAUAAGUUGACCGCCUGGGGGAGGUACRCGUCGCAAGAUAMYCWCUAUGAUAGUGG